rnacentral:rRNA from 1 species
GAUGAACGCUGGCGGCGUGCCUAAUACAUGCAAGUCGAGCGAACGGACGAGAAGCUUGCUUCUCUGAUGUUAGCGGCGGACGGGUGAGUAACACGUGGAUAACCUACCUAUAAGACUGGGAUAACUUCGGGAAACCGGAGCUAAUACCGGAUAAUAUUUUGAACCGCAUGGUUCAAAAGUGAAAGACGGUCUUGCUGUCACUUAUAGAUGGAUCCGCGCUGCAUUAGCUAGUUGGUAAGGUAACGGCUUACCAAGGCAACGAGGCAUAGCCGACCUGAGAGGGUGAUCGGCCACACUGGAACUGAGACACGGUCCAGACUCCUACGGGAGGCAGCAGUAGGGAAUCUUCCGCAAUGGGCGAAAGCCUGACGGAGCAACGCCGCGUGAGUGAUGAAGGUCUUCGGAUCGUAAAACUCUGUUAUUAGGGAAGAACAGAUGUGUAAGUAACUGUGCACAUCGUGACGGUACCUAAUCAGAAAGCCACGGCUAACUACGUG